ACUGAAAUAUAUUGUACUUUUAUAGAUAAUGUUUAACGUGCAAAAAGUCAUCUUAUUUCAGGAGUGAACAUAUAGAUUGAAUAUGGGGUUCCUCUCCCGUGAAUGAACGGAGGAUUUUACAAAACUACGAUAUAUCAUUCGAGGAAAAUGUUUUGGCAUCCUCCUGUAAGUUAACGAAAUUAUUUUGAUAAAUCUGAAUGUCCAAUGAUCGUGAGUACAGUGUGUGAGCAAGUCAUCAUAAAAUAGACCCUGCACUGCUAUGUGUCCAAUCGAAUCAUGAAGAAGCAACGAGCAUGAUUGGAAAUAAUGAAGGCAAUGGUUCUGACGUCGUAUCUGGAUAUCUUCUUGGUUCUUUAUCUGGUCCCUAUAGGAAGUGCCAGCAGCAUUACUUCUCCACAGCAGACUGAUAUAAAAUGCUGCUCAUGGAUGAUUUACUUAUCAUUGUUCAUAUUAAGCUGUGUGAUCACGUGGUUCGUCUUAACUUUAUUCGUUGUGAGUUUCUACGU